AGGAUGAACGCUGGCGGCGUGCCUAACACAUGCAAGUCGAACGUCCUGUCUCGCAAGAGGCAGGGAGUGGCGGACGGGUGAGUACCACGUGGGUUAUCUACCGUGAGGUGAGGAAUACCGGCGAGAAAUCGCCGACAAGACCGCAUAGCCUCGGUGCAAGCCGAGGAAAGCUUUCUCGAGAGAGGGAGCGCCACACGAGGAGCCUGCGCCCGAUUAGCUAGCUGGUGGAGUAACGGUUCACCAGGGCGACGAUCGGUAGCUGGUCUGAGAGGACGAUCAGCCACACUGGGAUUGAGAACGGCCCAGACUCCUACGGGGGGCAGCAGUGAGGAAUUUUCGUCAAUGGGGGCAACCCUGAACGAGCAACGCCGCGUGCAGGAAGAAGGUUUCGGAUCGUAAACUGCUUUUCUCGGGAAGAGAACGGACGGUACCCGAGGAAUCAGCCCCGGCUAACUACGUGCCAGCAGCCGCGGUAA
rnacentral:rRNA from 1 species